AGUGAACGCUGGCGGUAGGCCUAACACAUGCAAGUCGAACGGCAGCACAGUAAGAGCUUGCUCUUACGGGUGGCGAGUGGCGGACGGGUGAGGAAUACAUCGGAAUCUACUUUUUCGUGGGGGAUAACGUAGGGAAACUUACGCUAAUACCGCAUACGACCUACGGGUGAAAGCAGGGGAUCUUCUGACCUUGCGCGAUUGAAUGAGCCGAUGUCGGAUUAGCUAGUUGGCGGGGUAAAGGCCCACCAAGGCGACGAUCCGUAGCUGGUCUGAGAGGAUGAUCAGCCACACUGGAACUGGGACACGGUCCAGACUCCUACGGGAGGCCGCAGUGGGGAAUAUUGGGCAAUGGGCGCAAGCCUGGUCCAGCCAUACCGCGUGGGUGAAGAAGGCCUUCGGGUUGUAAAGCCCUUUUGUUGGGAAAGAAAAGCAGCAGGUUAAUACCCCGCUGUUCUGACGGUACCCAAAGAAUAAGCACCGGCUAACUUCGUG
rnacentral:rRNA from 1 species